rnacentral:rRNA from 1 species
GCCAGACUCCUACGGGAGGCAGCAGUGGGGAAUAUUGCACAAUGGGGGAAACCCUGAUGCAGCGACGCCGCGUGAGUGAAGAAGUAUUUCGGUAUGUAAAGCUCUAUCAGCAGGAACGAGACAAGACGGUACCUGACUAAGAAGCCCCGGCUAACUACGUGCCAGCAGCCGCGGUAAUACGUAGGGGGCAAGCGUUAUCCGGAAUCACUGGGUGUAAAGGGAGCGUAGACGGCUGUGCAAGCCUGAAGUGAAAGGCGGGGGCCCAACCCCUGGACUGCUUUGGGAACUGUACGGCUGGAGUGCAGGAGAGGUAAGUGGAAUUCCUAGUGUAGCGGUGAAAUGCGUAGAUAUUAGGAGGAACACCAGUGGCGAAGGCGGCUUACUGGACUGUAACUGACGUUGAGGCUCGAAAGCGUGGGGAGCAAACAGGAUUAGAUACCCGCGUAAU